CUUGAGCCCAGGAGGCAGAGGUUGCAGUGAGCCAAGAUUAUGCCACUGCACUUCAGCCUGGGCAACAGAGUGAGACCCUGUCUUAAAAAAAAAAUAGUGCUGUGAGAAACAACAGGCAAAGUUGGAAGGGUGGUCCUGUGGCAGUUUGUGCAUGUGAGCUUUGUUUGUUUUUUAAACCAAUUUUAUUGAAGUGUAAUUUACCUCAGUGUGCUGGUAACGGCACACCCAGGUAGCACGUGCAGCUGGAUGGGUUCUGGCUGUUGUUACAUACCUGUGCACUUAUGUACAUGCCCCAAGACACAGAAUGCCCCAGCACUGCAGUAAGUUCCUUAGUGCCACUUUCUGGUUAAUUUCCCUUCCACGAGAGGCAACCUGUUAUGCCUUCUUUCACUAUAGAUGUGUUUUGUUUUAGAAUGUCGUGUAACUAGACUCUCAUGGUAUGUGUUCUCUUAUGCCUGUGUCUUUAACUCAUGUUUUGAGAUUCACCCAGGUUACAUGUUUUGUGGUUUUUCCUGUUUUCUGGCUGGGUGGUAUUCCAUUCUGUGACUGUAUUGCAGUGUGUCUGUCCACUCGCCUGUCGAUGACCCUCUGGGUUUUUGUAAGAUGCUGAGAGAGUUAAAAGUAUGAGAUUUAUGAGAGAGAAGACCUUGAAAGAAAUGGGGAGAGUAAGGAGGCCGGGCAGGGAAGGUCGCCAGAACUACAGGUUAGGACGCAGCUCUGGGAGUAUUGGCAUUCGCCCUGCGUUGGGUACAAAAGGCCAGACUCUAGUCUCCGGACAGGGAGAACAUGGGCUGCCCAGGUGCUGCGCAGAUCCCAGCAGUACUCCACAGGGUUGUCAGCUCAGCAGCUCCUCCUGGGUGGUACUUGCUCAAUGCUUGACAGGAGGUUUGAGUGGCGGGCCUCUAGGCUGCCAAGGAGAAGGCUACAGCAACGGUCUGCGUAGGCUGCGCAGGUCUUUUCUCUGGACAGAGACAUUCAGGCCUCCUGGGGGUAUACUUGAGUGCAGCUGCCAGGUCACAGCGCAGCUACAUAUUUAAGGUUCUCAGGCACUGUCUUUCCAAAGCCAUGGUGCCACGUUGCCCUGCAGUCACAGGGUGCUAGAGUUCCAGCAGCAGUGCCUCCUUGCUUAUGCCAGUGUUGUCAGUUGCAUUAAUACCCCAGGACUGCUGUAACAAUUGACCCCAAACUUGGUGGCUUCACAUAAAUGGAUUGUCUUGCAGAUCUGUGGGUUAGAAGUCCAGCAUGGGCCGGGACCAGUGUCAGCAGGGCCUUCCUUCCUGGAGGCUUGAGGUGAACCCAUGUCCUUGUCUUUCCUCGACUCUAGGGCCUGUCCACAUUCUUUAGCUUGUGGUCUUAUUCUACCAUCUUCAAAGCCAGCAACCUUGCAUAUGCGGCUGUCCCUCUAUCCUUCCACCUCCCUCUGGCCACAGCCUGUCCAGGUGCUCCAGUUUUAAGGACCUGUGGGAUUAACCUGGGCCCUCUGGAUGAUCCAGGAUCGUCUCUUCAUCUCAACGUCCUUAACUUUAAUCACAUCUGUUACGUCCCUUUUGCUGUGUAAGGUUCUGGGAGUUAGGAUGUGGAUAUCUCUGGGGACCAUUAUUCUGCCCACGAAUUAUCUUUUAAAUUGUAUCCAUUCCAUUGGGUGUCUAUCUCAUUGGAGUUUUAAUUUGCAUUCCUCCCAAGUAUCUUUUCCUGUGCUUAUUGGCCACAGAUAUUUCUUUUAUAACAGAGUCUGUUUGAAUCUAUUUUCCAUUUAAAAAAAAACCGGGCUGCUUUCUUACCGAGUUCUUUAUUUGUUCUGGGUGCAUUUCCUUUGUCAGAGAGAAUUUCUUGUGACUGUUUUCUCUCAGUCUGUGGCCUGCUUUUCAUUUUCUUGGUGGUGUCUUUUGAAGAGCAGAAAUUUUAAUUUUGAUGAAUUCAGUUUAUCAAUUGUUUUCUUUUUUUAAACAUGGGGUCUCACUGUUGCUGAGGCUGAGUGCAGGUGCCUUCUAUCCUAAAUUCACUUAUUUCCAUUAGUUUUUAUUUUGUAGAUUCCUCAGGAUUUUCUACAGGCACUGUAAUAUCUGCAAAUACAGUUAGUUGCACUUCUUUCCAAUCUUUAUUUUGUCUUAUCUCACUGGCUAAAGUGGCAGUAAGUUUGCAUUUCUACCAGCAACGUAUGAGUUUCAGUUACCCUGCAUCUUCAUUAGCACUUGGUAUCGUCUGUGCUUAUAAAAUUUUGGCCAUUUGCUUAUCUCGUUGUGGUUUGAAUUUGCGUUUUCCUAGUGACUCAUUGAGAUCUCAUUUCAUGUGCUUCUUAUUCACCCUUUAAAAAAUUUUAGUUAAAUGUUUAUUCAGUAAUAUGGUUUGGAUCUGUGUCCCUGCUCAAAUCUCAUGUUCAGUUGUAAUUCCCAAUGUUGAGGUAGGGUGUGGUGGGCCUGGUCCAGUCACCAUGGGGGCAGUUUCUCAUGAAUGGUUUAGCCCCAUCUCCUUUGGUACUGUGGUUGUGAUGGUGAGUUCUCUUGAGAUCUGGCUGUUUAAAAGUGUGGUACCUCCCCCUUCUCUCUCUCGCUCCUGAUCCCACCAUGUGAGACUCCUUCCUCCCCCUUUGCCUUCUGCCAUGAUUGGAAGCUUCCUGAGGCCUCCCCAGAAGCAGAUGCUGUUGUGUUUCCUGUACAGCCUGCUGAACCAUGAGCCAAUUAAGCCUCUUUUCUCUAUAAAUUACCCAGCCUCAGGUAGUUCUUUAUAGCAAUGCGAGAAUGGACUAAUACAUUCAGAUACUUUGCCCAUUUUAUUAGUUGGAUUGUUGUAUUGUGUUGUGAGAGUUUUUUAAUAUAUUCUGGAUACAAGUCAUUUAUCAGAUAUAUGCAUUAUAAAUAUUUUCUCCCAGACCGUGGGUUAUGGUGUCUUCUGAACUGCAAAAGUUUUUGAUUUUCAGUUUAUACUUUUUUUCUGUUAUGGAUUAUGUUGUUAAUGUUAUCUCUAAAAUACAUUUGCCUAGGUAAGAUCAUGACAGUUUUCUCCCAUGUUCUCUUCUAGAAGUUUUAUUAGAGUUUCAGUGCUACAUUUAGGUCUUGGACCCAUUUUGAGUUUUAAUUUAAAAAAAUUUUAUGUUGUGGCGUAAAAGUCUAAAUUCACUUGUUAGCAUAUAGAUAGCCAGUUGUCCCAGCACUGUUUGUUGAAAAGAUUAUCUUUGUUCAUUGAAUCAUCUUGGUAUCUUUGCUGAAAAGCAGUUGGGCUUACAAAUAAGGGUUUAUUUCUGGACUCAGUUUUGUUCCAUUACAGUGUAUGUCUAUUCUUAUACUAGUACCACACUGUCUUGAUUACAGUAGUUUCAGUUUUUCAAAAUUGAAAAACAAUUCUCGUUUUUCAGAAUUGUUGUGGUUCUUUUGGGUCGUUUGCAUUUCCGUAUGAAUUAUAGGCUUAACUUCUAAAUUU